rnacentral:rRNA from 1 species
GUUGUAUAGUUAAGUGACUAAGCGUACAAGGUGGAUGCCUUGGCAAUCAGAGGCGAGGAAGGACGUGCUAAUCUGCGAAAAGCUUGGAUGAGUCGAUAAGAGGCGUUUAAUCCAAGAUGUCCGAAUGGGGAAACCCAGUAGAUGAAGAAUCUACUAUCACUUACUG